UAAUGGUUAAUUAAUAUCAGUAUAAAUCUUUUGUAUUUUUAUUUAAAAUUUAUCUUUUGUUUUCAAUCAUUUAACUUAAUUAGUUCAAUUAUUCAUGAUUGGUUCUAAAAUUUAACAAUUUUGUAUUGCCAUUGAGCAAAGUGCAACUUUAAUUCGCAAAUAUUGCUAGGAAAAUGAUCCAGUAUAUACGUUAAUUUUGCUUUUGUUUAUUCUGAUGCUUUUGUUUUUGUUGUCUUUUUGGUUUUGUGUUGCACAAAAAUUAAAAGUAGACAAUUGGUACUAAUCAUUGGGAAACAAAAUUUAAUUAACUAUCUUCUGCUUGGUAACAUUUCAUUGUAAACUUUGUUUUACUCGGAUCCACUUCAUUGUUUCAUUAAUUGAAGUUUGUUAACAAAUGAUGAGUUGAACAUUUUGCUGAAAGAAGAGAGGAAAGCUCAACUCAAAUUUCAACCGGAAUGAAGGAAGCAAAUCUCGUUGGUUUGAUGGGAAGACGAGCUGGAAACGCGAAUAGCAAAGACACAAGAAUGUAUUAAUCAUUUUAAAGACUUUAGGUUACAAGAAUUUUGUCUCCUUUGCUAUUAUGCAAAAAGUAAUAUGAAACUUGACGGUCGCAAACUGUAUUUUACAGCUUUCAUCUAUCUGUCCUUUGGCCUUGGUGAUUUAACUCAUAUGGACAAAACGUGACCUGACCAGUGGAGCUUGAAGAAGAUCCUUUUGCGGUUCUCCUGUUCGAGAGCAACGUGAAUACAACAACCACAGUUACAUGCUAUCCAACUUUCAUUGUGAUCAUUAAUAUAAUUAUUAUUAUUAUAAGAAAAUUUGGACUUCAUCACCGUUAACGACAAGAUCGAGAUGUUUUUACUGGAAAAUUAGCAGCCAUUUUAGCCUUUAACAUGAAAAGUGAGAAAAAAGGACGACUCAAUAGAUGUGUGAGGAUAAAAAAGAAAAGCCUGGUUUUUGCUUGACAUCAUUCUAUGGGUUCAUGUUUCUGAUGAAUGAAUCUAUUUGAGAAUGUUUUUUCAGCAAAUUGUAGCUUCCAACGUCUAAUUUUAUUCCAUCUCACUGAACCAAAGAAAAAAAGAAGGAAAAGACAAAAAAGAGAUAGGAAGAUGGCGAGGAGGAAAAGGCGAAAAGAUUGAACACAGUGAGAGUGAAAACACACACAUUCACAUAUUCAAAGGCUAUUAGUACAAUUUGUGGUUGCUAAUUUCCGCUUGGCUCAGCUAAUUGUAGACAAUCCAUGAUACUGUAAAGAAAAACUGAUUAUCAAUCAUUUAGACACCAAAAAAUGUGAAAUUCCAAAUUCUUAAGAAUCACUUGGUACACUGAUAAAGAAUGAAAGAUCAAGGAAAGAAAAGAAGGAAAGAGAAAGAUAUAAAAAAGAAAACGAAACAAACUUCAAAAUCAUCAUCGUCAACAUUAACAUCAACAACAACAAUUUUAACUUGAACAUCAACAUGAACAUGAACAAACGUAAACACGCAACAGCAACAAAUUUCAAGCCUCAGCUCAAAGUUAACUUUCCAAGUUUACACUUAAUUGAAUGAAAAUUUUUGUGACACUCCUGUAAAACUGUAAACCACAACAACAGUCAACAAUCAGAAUCCAAGUAACCAUCAAUCUUGACCAACUGAAAAUUCUGACAACUCAAGAAGAAGAAAAAGUAAAGAAAGGAAUGGAAAAAACAAGCAAAUUGAGAACACACAAAUUUCAAUGGCAUCAUGACCUUUAUAUCAACUCUAUUUAUCUUUGCACAAGAGCAAAUUUUAAAGCAAAUUUCCAUUAUUUGGAUCCAUUAUUCUUUCGAUGGUUCAUACGCUAUACUUUUCAGAUGGUUACGUUGGCGUCUGUUGAUUUCAUUGUUACACUGAAGACUAAGUUUGAUUUUGAUGAUGAUGGUUUCCAAUCCCAUCUGAUUGUCGAUGCAGUUGGUAUCAAUUUUAUGUAAAUUAUAGACGAUUUAACUCAAUAAUGCACUGGAAAAGAAAAGUAAAACCUCUUUUUUGGAGGAAAAAAGGUUGAAGCUGUUGUUGACUUUUGUAUUGGAGGAAACGUAACUUGGAAUAUUCAUUUUUUAUUCUUAGCCAUGCAAUUGUAAUUCAUUGAUGGAUCAAGUGAACAGUUAUUAUUACCGUUGAAUGAAACCACAUCAUCAUGAAUGCAAACCCAAUCAAGUUUUUUUUGUACUUCAAAGGAAAUUUACAAUUCAAAAUGGUUAUUCUGAUGAUGAACAUAAUGAUAAUGAUUAUCAUUUAAUGAACCAUUCAGAAGAUUCAAAGGAGAAACUAAAGAGGAAAAAAGAUAAAGAAACUUUGCCUUGAAGAUUCAUGGAAUAAAAGAUUCAUAUUUUGGUCAAUCAAAGUCAAUGACAGUUAAAAAGUCCAGACUUGAUAACUUUCCUCUUUUUUGUUACUGUUACUGCUCAUUAUCAUCACCAAGAUUAUCAUCAACGGCGUCUUCUUCCUUCUCUCCAUUCAUUCAAUAUUCAUAUCAUUCAUGAACUUUCCAUCUUUCCAGUUGAUAACAGAAAGCCUGACCAACCUUUAGACACAAAACAAAAAAGACUGCUACCCAAUGGUCAAAUAAAAUGCUCAUAUAAUGCAAAUUAUGAUGUAUUUACAGUUGAUAAUCGAAGAUAGUUGAAGCCCUUGAAGAUGGUGAUGUCCAGCAACUGAAUUCAAUAUGGGAAAAAGAGGAAUGAAAAAGCUGGGAUAAAGUAAUAAUAAGCAAUUGAAAAAGAUGAAAGCAAAGUCAAGCCGUUAAGUAUCAGUGAACGAGUUUCUUCAUUAUCAUCUAUAUCACCAUGAGCAUCUUGAAGUGUAUUUAUUACAUUAUAUCUAAAUGUGAUCUUCUUUCUCAUCUCGAAUAUAAAUAUACAUGUAUACAUAUACUGAAUACUGAACAGACAAAGCUUCAGAUUGGAAUAGAAAGUAAAAAUAUCUACUAAAAAGGUUAGUAAACAUUUAUCAAAAGCUGCUGUUAUCAGUAAAUGUAUAAUAUGCAUAUAACGGUGUAUGUCCAUUGACUGGCUCUUGAUAUGUUUACAUGUAUAUUUAUUAUAAAAUUAAUCAGAAAGAAAAGAAAAUGUUUCGCCAAAAAAUGUGAUUUUAAUCAUCAUUUUAAUUAUCAUUUUAAUCUUCAUAUUCAUCAUCAUUAAUGAGAUUAUUGUGAGAAAUGAGUAAAAAUGAUAAUCACAGUGAAAGCCCAAGAAACAAGGUAGAAACAAAUAAAUCUUACCUUAAAGUUAUUACUUUAUUAUUCUAAUACCUUUACUUAUUACUUUGCAACAUUAACAUUACGCGUUUUUCAUUGUUUUCAAUGUAACUUUUAUUCAUCCAUCUUUCCUCUCUUUCUGACCAAUUUCAAUCUUCUUUCUAUUAAUCUCUUCUCUCUCUUUACCUUUAUUUCCUCUCUCUCUGUAUACCUGUCUGUUUUUGUCUAGCAAUUCAUCACACUACUAAUCCCUGUCUUUCAAAUUAUCCUCUCUUUCCCUUGUUUCGGUAAUUUUUCAAGUGUAUCAACGUUGAAAAAACAACUCACCUUCUGUCUUUCUCUGUCUAACUAGUUCCAUUUUUCAUUUACCUUGCAAUAUAACCUGUGGGGUGUCUUGUUGUCAAAUUUAAUCAAGACAGUGCCUCACAUGGACACCUUAAAAUGUUACCCUCUUCAGUCAUUCCUACUUUUCACAUUCUCUUUCCUUUCUUUCAAUAAAUGUAUAACUUAGUCACUGUCUAACCGACUGUCUGUUGUACCUUUAAUGUAUAAAUAUAUCUGUCAACUUACAUGAUCAUGAAGGUUUCUCAUGAGAAAAGCUGAAACAAGCUUUGAUCAAAUUUGAAUCAAAUUAGUAAAUGAUAAUGUUUCCCUAAAAAGAUCAGUUAGUGUCCAACAUUUAUACGUGCAUCUGUAUAUCAGGAUACAGUUUGCUUUCAUGUUUAAUAUGAAUAACAUUUAACUGUUUUACUAAUUACUUUAUUAAUUAUACUUUUUUGUUUUCCGAUUUUCCUCUUUUGUCUUGCAGCUUCUUUUUCUUGGUAAAGUACAUAAUCUUACCUGGACAGGACAAUUACCAGCCUAUUUUUGAACCUUAUUAUUAAUCUUGCAGUUUAUAAUCAACUUUGACAAUCUUAAGAGUUUGAAUCAAAUGAUUAUCCAAGUCAAUUGUUGGUCCACAGUUGAUCCAUUGUUAACCCAAUGUGGUAAAUUUUGGCUACUAACCAGGUUCAAUGUAUCACACCAUUGAGAUGAAAGAUUAAAUUGUUGCCAUUGAACAAAUAGAUGUGUUUGUAACAUGAAAACUGUUUUUAUUAAUCAAAUUUUGUUUCCUUGUUUUUUUGAUUAAUUUGUCUUGGCACUGUAAUUGUAUCAAUGGAAUGAGUUAAUUUAAAAUGAGAUGUAAUCACGUCAUCAUAAUAGGAUUGAAUGAUAAACUGUCACUUGAAAUUGUU